rnacentral:lncRNA from 10 species
GCCGAGCAUGGUGGCAUGUGCCUGUAAGUCCCAGCUACUUGGGAGGCUGAGGCAGAAGAAUUGCUUCAAUCCAGGAGGUGCAGGUUGCAGUGAGCCAAGAUAACGCCACCGCACUCCAGCCUGGGUGACAGAGCGAGACUCCGUCUCCAAAAAAAUAAAAAGUGUAGACUAUAGACAACUAGAAUUUCUAGACUGUCUGGCUUGGGGUAGGUCUGGUUGGGGAUUGGGAGAAUGCUUGGGGGAUUUACUGAGAAGUGGUCACUGUUUCUAUGCUAAGCUCUGUUUUUCACUUAGGUUAUAGGUAUUUGGGUGGCCUUUCAGGCAAUGGAGGUUAUGAGGGAGCUAAGGCCCCUGUGGACCCCUUGGCACCAGCACUGGCAUAGGCCCACUUGCUACCACCAGAACUGAGCACAUAUGGGAGCAUUCACGGGGCUGAUUAAGGAAGGCUUCCUGGAGGAAGGGAGUUUGAGGCAUGUUUGAAAGAAGAAGAGGGGGGAUUAUAAAACACGAAAGUGACAGCAGACAGGUUUAUGUAACAUCCAGGAGCAAGAAUGAGACUCUGAGGGCAUCCAGGACCCACCUUCAUUGUAGGGACAAAAGCACCAAGGUCUCAGCCAGGUGAGGGAGUUUGCCCAAGGCACAGUGACUGAACUGGAACUGGUGCUGCAGGGAGCUGGAAGGAAGGAAGGAAGUCCAAACAGAGGGAACGUGGACAGACUCAGGCACAAGGGCUUAAGGUAGGAGGUGCCCUUGGGGAAAAUGGGUCCUUGGUCUAGUAGCAAGAUUGCAGAGUAUGCAAAGAAGUCGGAGCCAGGGUACAAGGGGCUUAGGCACCUUGCUAGCGAGGAGGCUCAACCCUUAGUGGUGACAGUGGGACAGUCAGUGGAAUGUCCUGAAGCCUCUCUGGAGGCCCUCUGCAGCCCAGGAACACCUAGGAGUGGAGGUUGGGGAGUAGAGUUUGGAAACACCUUAGAAACAAGAUUGGCUGUACCCCGUGACUGUAAAUGGGGACUCGAGUCUAAAGUCUAAGCUCAAGGCAGCAGGGGUAGCCCGAGGUGCCUGCUGCUGCAUGGAAGGGAAGGGAGAGAGCUGGCCAGGCAAGAGUGGGUUCCAGCAAGUUCCUAAUGUAGCAGACAUUUCAUGUUUGUAUUCACUCAUAUUUUCAUUCACAGCUAUGAGCCUAGCAGUGAGGCCCAACUCAGUUUACAAGGCUUGCAAACCAGGUGUCAACUGGCUGCCUGUCAGACAAUGCUUUUAGGUGACCAGAAGGCAAGGAUUUCCCAGUCCCUGGAAACCAGAUGCCCAUCCUCCAUGCAAACAAGUGAGGUGGAGUGUCCGUGCCAGUGCCCACACCUGCCCGGAGGCAGCUGCUCAGGGCCUCUGCACUAUCUCCACCUCACCCUCCCCACGCCUCCCACUCCUUAAAGACCACAGGGCUGGGGGGCAGACACCUGGGAUUCUAAUUUGGUAUGUGACCCCAGGCUACCCCUGGGAGGCUCCUGUCCUCAUCUGCAAAGUGGGGAGAAAGGGGGGUUUCUAUGAGGAUUCAGUGAGACAAUGCCUGGGCACAGGGCUGCCUGGCACCCAGCAGGGAACUUAAUAAAUGUCUGGUUUCCAAUUCCCACCAAUGCAUUUCCCAGCCCUUCUCCUCCCCUCAAGCACUAAUUGUCUGAGUUACGACCCUACUUUGGUGUCUGGCUGCCUACAAGCAAAGUGAGGAGGUCUCCUUCGGUAGAACUGGUGCUGAGCUGAGAAUGGAGCCCUGGCCCGCCCCUUACUUCCAGAGCCUUGGGAGACAUCAUCAACCUCAGCAUCAGCUUCCUCCUCUGGAAAGCAGCCACCCUCUUAAGUAACUGCAAACCAUGCCGGCAAACUGCAAAGUGCUUAAGGCCAGGCAUGAGGACAGGUCAGGAGGCAGGGUUUCGGGCCUGGCAUUCUCAGAGUGGUCUCGGGAAGAACAAACCUGGACACCGAACUGGACAACAGCAGGACUCUGAGCACUUUGGGAGCUGUGUAUGAUGUGUUGCGGGGGUGGGUUGUGUCCAGAUCAAAGGUGGGGAGGCGGUCUAGGCAGCAGCAGGAGGUGUAUUCGAGGUCUGCAGCAAUUCUUGCAGAGCCUGAAUUACAGUGAGGCCCACACCCUCGUCCUGCUGCCCUGGCCUUGGCCAUCUCCCAUGUCAACCUCAUCUUGAUCUUGCCUACCUCCCUCCCCAGAAGCCAGGGGGCCAUUUGGCAUCAGGAACACAGGGAUUAGCUGCACGGCCAGACCCCAGACCCCCGCCCAGGGGUCCCUCUUUGCUCUCCUGGCCAGCCCCACCCCACAGGCACCAACUUGGGCCAAUGCCAGGCCACAGGUCAGACUCCCAGGCCUGGGACUCCUCUGCCCACCCACAACAACCACUGAUGCUCCUCAGCAAGAGCCAACUUCUGGCUCUGAACGCAGCAGCACCCAGGAUACAGCAAGGUGAAUGCUAGGCACUCGUCCCACAGCCUGGGGUGUAGGGGAGGUCAGAGAUACACACAAAUCAAACUCUCUCCUCACUAUAUAUAUAUAUAUAUAUAUAUAUAUAUACACACACACACACACACACACACACACACACACAUACACACAAGCACACCCCACCCACACUCAUUAGGCCUGGAGGGGGGACUUCAGUUCUCCAUCUUUGGCAUCAAUCUAUCAAAGUCAGCUUUUCUGUACGAGACUGCUCGCUCCUUUCUGUACAUGAAUUAAAUAUAUUAUCUGUCUCUGCACUGAGUCACACGACGUUCACAGUACCGUGGGGAGGAGUGGAGGGUGGGGGCCUGAGGUGGGCAGGGCAGGGGGCCUGGGUAGAAAGGCGAG